rnacentral:rRNA from 1 species
GCUGAACGCUGGCGGCGUGCCUAAUACAUGCAAGUCGCGCGAAGCGUGGACGGGUGAGUAACACGUGGAUAACCUCCUAUAAGACUGGGAUAACUUCGGGAAACCGGAGCUAAACCGGAUACUUAUACAUGGAUCCGCGCUGCAUUAGCUAGUUGGUAAGGAAAUGGAUUACCAAGGCAACGAUGCAUAGCCGACCUGAGAGGGUGAUAGGACACACUGGAACGGAGACACGGACCAGACUCAAACGGGAGGCAGCAGUAGGGAAGCUUACGAAAUGGGCGAAAGCCUGAAGGGGCAACGCCGAGUGAGUGAUGAAGGUCUUCGGAUCGUAAAACUCUGUGAUUAGGGAAGCGGUACCUAAUCAGAAAGCCACGGCUAACUACGUGCCAGCAGCCGCGGUAAUAC